UACGUAGGGUGCAAGCGUUGUCCGGAAUUAUUGGGCGUAAAGAGCUCGUAGGCGGUCUGUCGCGUCUGCUGUGAAAACUCGGGGCUUAACCCCGGGGCUGCAGUGGGUACGGGCAGACUAGAGUGCGGUAGGGGAGACUGGAAUUCCUGGUGUAGCGGUGAAAUGCGCAGAUAUCAGGAGGAACACCGGUGGCGAAGGCGGGUCUCUGGGCCGUAACUGACGCUGAGGAGCGAAAGCGUGGGGAGCGAACAGG
rnacentral:rRNA from 1 species